rnacentral:rRNA from 1 species
AUUGAACGCUGGCGGCAUGCCUUACACAUGCAAGUCGAACGGUAACAGGUCUUUCGGGAUGCUGACGAGUGGCGAACGGGUGAGUAAUACAUCGGAACGUGCCUAGUAGUGGGGGAUAACUACUCGAAAGAGUGGCUAAUACCGCAUGAGAUCUAUGGAUGAAAGCAGGGGACCUUUGGGCCUUGUGCUACUAGAGCGGCCGAUGGCAGAUUAGGUAGUUGGUGGGAUAAAAGCUUACCAAGCCUACGAUCCGUAGCUGGUCUGAGAGGACGAUCAGCCACACUGGGACUGAGACACGGCCCAGACUCCUACGGGAGGCAGCAGUGGGGAAUUUUGGACAAUGGGCGCAAGCCUGAUCCAGCAAUGCCGCGUGCAGGAUGAAGGCCUUCGGGUUGUAAACUGCUUUUGUACGGAACGAAAAGUCUUGGGUUAAUACCCUGGGAUCAUGACGGUACCGUAAGAAUAAGCACCGGCUAACUACGUG